CGCAAGCUGAUCCAGCCAUUCCGCGUGCANGAUGAAGGCCUUCGGGUUGUAAACUGCUUUUGUACGGAACGAAAAGGCUCUCUCUAAUACAGGGGGCUCAUGACGGUACCGUAAGAAAUAAGCACCGGCUAACUACGUGCCAGCAGCCGCGGUAAUACGUAGGGUGCAAGCGUUAAUCGGAAUUACUGGGCGUAAAGCGUGCGCAGGCGGUGAUGUAAGACAAUUGUGAAAUCCCCGGGCUCAACCUNGGGAACUGCAUCUGUGACUGCAUCGCUGGANUGCGGCA
rnacentral:rRNA from 1 species